rnacentral:rRNA from 1 species
GGAUGUUAGCGGCGGACGGGUGAGUAACACGUGGGUAACCUGCCUGUAAGACUGGGAUAACUCCGGGAAACCGGAGCUAAUACCGGAUAGUUCCUUGAACCGCAUGGUUCAAGGAUGAAAGACGGUUUCGGCUGUCACUUACAGAUGGACCCGCGGCGCAUUAGCUAGUUGGUGAGGUAACGGCUCACCAAGGCGACGAUGCGUAGCCGACCUGAGAGGGUGAUCGGCCACACUGGGACUGAAACACGGCCCAGACUCCUACGGGAGGCAGCAGUAGGGAAUCUUCCGCAAUGGACGAAAGUCUGACGGAGCAACGCCGCGUGAGUGAUGAAGGUUUUCGGAUCGUAAAGCUCUGUUGUUAGGGAAGAACAAGUGCAAGAGUAACUGCUUGCACCUUGACGGUACCUAACCAGAAA